CUGUGGCAGGACCGGCCUCUCCGGCGUCAGCUCCACACUCUGCGGCCGAGUCCGCAGCCGGCGCCGCUGGGCCCUCGGUCCCCUCCUGCCCAGGGUGGGGCUGGGCUGUCCGUCAGGACUCCCACGUCCUCUCUGUUCCCAGCGUGGCGACUUGGGCCCGGCCCCUGGCCCUGUCGCGCAGCGCUGUGCCCACAGCUCGCGUCUCCCGGGACCACGCAGUGAGGACCGGGGAGGCGCUUUUUGCAGAUCAGAAUGUUUUAAUUUCAUUGAAGUCUAGGUUAUCCGUUUUCUUAUUCUCACAUCAUGCUUUGGGUGUCACAUCUGA
rnacentral:lncRNA from 1 species